rnacentral:siRNA from 1 species
UUGUAAGUCACUACGUUUGGG